rnacentral:rRNA from 1 species
UGAAUACGAGACACUAAGGUGUUGAAGUAGUGUAUGUCAUACUUCCAAGAAAAGCUUGCACUGUCAUAAAUAAAGAAUGCCUGUACCAUAACCGACACAGGUGGGUAGGUAGAGUAUACUAAGGGGCGCGAGAUAACUCUCUCUAAGGAACUCGGCAAAAUAACUCCGUAACUUCGGGAGAAGGAGUGCCUUAUUUAUAAGGUUGCAAUAACAAGAUCCAAGCAACUGUUUAUCAAAAACACAGGUCUCCGCUAAGUCGUAAGACGAUGUAUGGGGGCUGACGCCUGCCCAGUGCCAGAAGGUUAAAGAAGUUGGUUAGCAAUAGCGAAGCUGGUAACUGAAGCCCUGGUGAACGGCGGCCGUAACUAUAACGGUCCUAAGGUAGCGAAAUUCCUUGUCGGGUAAGUUCCGACCCGCACGAAAGGCGUAAUGAUUUGGAUACUGUCUCGGAGAGGGGCUCGGUGAAAUAGACUUGUCUGUGAAGAUGCGGACUACCUGCACCAGGACAGAAAGACCCUAUGAAGCUUUACUGUAACUUGAAAUUGAAAUUGGACUUUAUUCGCGCAGCAUAGGUGGGAGGCGUUGAUUAUAAUCUCGCGGGAUUAUUGGAGCCAUCAGUGAGAUACCACUCUUGUAAUGUUAGAUUUCUAACUUUGAAUCAUUAUCUGGUCAAAGGACAGUUUCAGGCGGGCAGUUUGACUGGGGCGGUCGCCUCCUAAACGGUAACGGAGGCGUACAAAGGUUUCCUCUGAACGGUUAGAAAUCGUAUCUAGAGUGUAAAGGCAUAAGGAAGCUUGACUGUGAGACCUACAAGUCGAGCAGGGACGAAAGUCGGUCUUAGUGAUCUGACGGUACUGAGUGGAAAGGCCGUCACUCAACGGAUAAAAGUUACUCUAAGGAUAACAGGCUGAUCUCCCCCAAGAGUUCACAUCGACGGGGAGGUUGGCACCUCGAUGUCGGCUCAUCGCAUCCUGGGGCGGUAGUACGUCCCAAGGGUUGGGCUGUUCGCCCAUGAAAGCGGUACGCGAGCUGGGUUCAGAACGUCGUGAGACAGUUCGGUCCAUAUCCGGUGUAGGCGUUAGAAUAUUGAGAGGAGCCUUCUUUAGUACGAGAGGACCGAGAAGGACAUACCUCUGGUGUACCAGUUAUCGUGCCAACGGUAAACGCUGGGUAGCUAUGUAUGGAGUGGAUAACCGCUGAAAGCAUCUAAGUGGGAAGCCCACCUCAAGAUAAG